rnacentral:tRNA from 1 species
GGUGGCUCAGUGGUAGAGCGCUUGCCCUGCAUGCAUGAGACCCUGGGUUCAAUUCCUCAGCACCG